AAGAAUCGCCCCGUUUUUUGAAAUGGGUUCUAUUCCCCAACCGUGUCUAUAUACCUUUGUUGCUUUGGCAGGCCGCCACUUAGGCGUUGGCUCCGGCUGACUGUGCCUGCCAGAGGACCCAAACUCGUUUGUUAGUGAUGUCUGAGUAUUAUAUAAUAGUUA
rnacentral:misc_RNA from 1 species